rnacentral:misc_RNA from 1 species
GAUGAAGAACGUAGCGAAAUGCGAUAAGUAAUGUGAAUUGCAGAAUUCAGUGAAUCAUCGAAUCUUUGAACGCACAUUGCGCCCGCCAGUAUUCUGGCGGGCAUGCCUGUUCGAGCGUCAUUCCAACCAUCAAGCCCUGCUUGCGUUGGGGUCCUGCGGCUGCCCGCAGGCCCUGAAAACCAGUGGCGGGCUCGCUAGUCACACCGAGCGCAGUAAUACAUCUCGCUUUGGGCGUGCGGCGGGUUCUUGCCGUUAAACACCCCCUUUUUACCAAGGUUGACCUCGGAUCAGGUAGGAAUACCCGCUGAACUUAAGCAUAUCAAUAAGCGGAGGA